rnacentral:rRNA from 1 species
UACAGAGGGUGCGAGCGUUAAUCGGAAUUACUGGGCGUAAAGCGUGCGUAGGCGGUUAUUUAAGUCGGGUGUGAAAGCCCCGGGCUCAACCUGGGAAUUGCAUUCGAGACUGAAUAGCUAGGGUACGGUAGAGGGAAGUGGAAUUUCCGGUGUAGCGGUGAAAUGCGUAGAUAUCGGAAGGAACAUCAGUGGCGAAAGCGACUUCGUGGAGCAGUACCGACGUUCAGGCACGAAAGCGUGGGGAGCAAACAGG